CGGGUUGUGGCUCAGCUUGGUAGAGCGCUCGGUUCGGGACCGAGAGGUCGCUGGUUCAAAUCCAGUCAACCCGACCA
rnacentral:tRNA from 19 species